GACGAGGGAUCCUAGCGUUGUUCGGAAUCAUUGGGCGUAAAGCGGGCGUAGGUGGCUUUAUAAGUCAGGUGUGAAAUCCCCGGGCUCAACCCGGGACGUGCACUUGAUACUGUUUAGCUUGAGUGUGGAAGAGGUGAGUGGAAUUCCAGGUGUAGUGGUGAAAUACGUAGAUAUCUGGAGGAACACCGGUGGCGAAAGCGGCUCACUGGUCCAACACUGACACUGAAGCCCGAAAGCGUGGGGAUCAAACGAGG
rnacentral:rRNA from 1 species